rnacentral:sRNA from 1 species
UUAUAAUUCAGUUGGUGCGCCACGCGCCG